GACGAACGCUGGCGGCGUGCUUAACACAUGCAAGUCGAACGGAAAGGCCCUGCUUUUGUGGGGUGCUCGAGUGGCGAACGGGUGAGUAACACGUGAGUAACCUGCCCUUGACUUUGGGAUAACUUCAGGAAACUGGGGCUAAUACCGGAUAGGAGCUCCUGCUGCAUGGUGGGGGUUGGAAAGUUUCGGCGUUUGGGGAUGGACUAGCUGCUUAUCAGCUUGUUUGUGGGGUAGUGGCUUACCAAGGUUUUGACGGGUAGCCGGCCUGAGAGGUUGACCGGCCACAUUGCGACUGAGAUACGGCCCAGACUCCUACGGGACGCAGCAGUCGGGAAUAUUUCACAAUGGGCGGAAGCCUGAUGCAGCAACCCCGCGUUCGUGAUGACGGCCUUCGGGUUGUAAACCGCUUUCGCCUGUGACGAAGCGUGAGUGACGGUAAUGGGUAAAGAAGCACCGGCUAACUACGUG
rnacentral:rRNA from 1 species